rnacentral:rRNA from 1 species
AUUUGGAAAGCUAGUAUUCCUUUAAAAAUUAAGAUUUUCUUGUGGCAAUUGUUUCAAAAUGCUGUGCUCACGCGGGAUAACUUGCGGAAAAGGAACUGGCCUGAGAAUCCUGCCCGUUCCUUCUGCAAUAGUAUGGAAGAUGCUAAUCAUCUGUUCUUCGCGUGUCCACUUGCUCGAACUGUUUGGGGACUCUUAGGUGCUACAGUUGGGGCCUCCUGUUGCCCCCGAUCGCUGUGGCAAUGUUGGGCGUGGCUUUAUAAAUUUUUCCCAGGCGGAAAGAAAUUUUAUAUGAUGAUUAUUGCUACUAUUUGUUGGGGGAUUUUGUGCCUCAGAAAUAAAGUUACCUUUGAUAAAUACAAUGCUCGUACUCCGUUGGAGGCUGUUUUCAGUGCUUGCUCUUUUAUGUUGUACUGGGCAGGAUUGCUGAAAGAAGAAGACAGGGCGAGGUUCCAGGCUGGGGUGAAAAGACUGGCGUUUGCGGCAGCAGCUCUGGUAGACAGGUCAUGCACACAGGGGAGGAUGCUGCUGAGGGAUGGAGAUGGAGUUCAGAUCGGCUAA